rnacentral:rRNA from 1 species
GUCUACAGCUUUGCCACCCUGAUCAAGCGCGAUGUCUGAUCUCACAAUCUGUUGAGGGUCAGGCUUGGUUAGUACUUGGAUGGGAGACCACCUAGGAAGACCAGGUGCUGUAGGCA